CCGAGGCAGGGCCACGCGACG
rnacentral:misc_RNA from 1 species